GAUGAAGAACGCAGCGAAAUGCGAUACUUGGUGUGAAUUGCAGAAUCCCGUGAACCAUCGAGUCUUUGAACGCAAGUUGCGCCCGAAGCCACUAGGCCGAGGGCACGCCUGCCUGGGCGUCACACGCCGUUGCCCCCCCAUCUACUCCUUCGGGAUUGCGGGGGGGCGGAUGAUGGCCUCCCGUGCGCCUAGCCGCGCGGUUGGCAUAAAUACCAAGUCCUCGGCGACGCACGCCACGACAAUCGGUGGUUGCGAAACCUCGGUUGCCCGUCGUGUGCGUUCGUCGCGCNNNNNNNGCUCGAAAAAAUGCUCGGCUCCGGCUGGGCUUUCAACGCGACCCCAGGUCAGGCGGGGUUACCCGCUGAAUUUAAGCAUAUCAAUAAGCGGAGGA
rnacentral:misc_RNA from 1 species